rnacentral:tRNA from 1 species
GCAGUGGUGGCUCAGCGGUAGAAUUCUCCACUUGCAUGGGGGAGACCCGGGUUCGCUUCCCGGCCUAUGCA